rnacentral:rRNA from 1 species
CCCUUAGAUGUCCUGGGCCGCACGCGCGCUACACUGAGUGUCUGAGAUACGAGUCUGCCUGGUCCGGCAAGGUCUAGGUAAUCGCUAAAAGACACAUCAUGCUUGGGAUAGAUUAUUGCAAAUAUUAAUCUUGAACGAGGAAUUCCUAGUAAGCGCAAGUCAACAGCUUGCGUUGAUUACGUCCCUGCCCUUUGUACACACCGCCCGUCGCUACUACUGAUUGGAUGUUUAAGCGAGGUACUCGAACUGCUAGCGACUUAGCUUCGGUGAGGUCGCAGUGUGGGAAGUGAACCUAGCUUUGGUGUCUAGAGGAAGUAAAAGUCGUAACA